CCGGUUCCAUCCGUCGAUGACGUAUGAAUUUGUUUUGGCUCAGUUUUACUUGCGUCAAUCUGUUCAGCUUUUCUAUUGGAGUGGUCUUUGGCAGGCGCGUCGCUUGCGUCUAAAUUCUCUUCCCGGUGUCUCGGGGUCUCGACCAUGCCAUCAAAGAGUUCCUUCUUCCUGAAGGCAGUUGCCUCGCGCUUCUACCCUUUGCAGAGACGACGGAGUGACGCGUACCUCGGGGUCUGACGGAAAGACUGGAGAACGAAACAGAAAGGACACGAACGACAGGGUGUCAUAACAACAACAAUUGGGCAGGUAUAGUGGAUACGGGGGCCUAUCCCAUUCGCGGUCCGCGCCCC
rnacentral:lncRNA from 1 species